GCGGCGAUGGUCUAACGGCAUGACAACGGCCUUCCAAGCCGUUUAUCCGGGUUCAAAACAACGGUUUCGGCCAUUGACGACGAAGUAUGUUUCGCUUCGCUCAAGCAUACGGUAUCGAGAUCACACCUGACGCUGUAAAGCGUCACCGACUAACAACAAUUCAUUGUUGAAAGAAGGCUUAUGGUGUCGACGGAAAUGACCGUCGCUGGUGAAAGUCCCGGUCGCCGCA
rnacentral:tRNA from 1 species